CUCUUUCUUCAGCAACAAGAAAACAUAAAACAUGUGAAAAGAGAGUAAAUAUUGUGAUUUUUCCACCAGAAGAAUAGAAAGUGUGGGGAACAGAGGAAGUCACACGUGCAUUUUGAUUUCGCAGAUGCCUACUUAUACAUGACCUUGGAGAAAAAGCCUCUCGCACAGGAAAUACAGAACACUGAGGCUCCAGAGGGCUAAGAGGGAGGCAUAGAAUGGGAAGAACUUGCAUCGUCAAAGCAUCACCUGGAGGACAGCCCCCACUGACCAGGAACAUCUGCACAGGGCUCUGCCUUGAUCAGGUUGAAAAUAUGCUGGCACAGCCAGCAUCAGCUCCAGCCAAGUCAUGGAUGUGCAGAGGGGCCCAGCAGUGCGGAAUUCAAAGCAACUUUAGCAACCUUAAAAAGCAGAACAAAACCAUCCUCGUUCGAAGUGUAUACAGCUGGUCUCUAAGAAGCUCUCCAAAGUAGAAGGGAACUGAAUUUCAACUUUAGAAAGUCAAAACAAAGGGGAGUUGAUGUAUAAAAAUGAUGCUAUCCCUGGAGCAAAGAGGGCUUCCCUUGGAGACAGGAUGGAUCACACGCCAGGGCCGAAAAGCUUCCCGUGGCUGCAAGGUAUUGUGCAGUUGCUAAGAUUGAAUACCAAGAGCCCCUCUACUUGGGAUCAUGAAUAAAACCCUGUGACAUCUUUGAUAAGACUGUUAC
rnacentral:lncRNA from 1 species